rnacentral:lncRNA from 1 species
AACCUUCUCUUAAUGUAGUUAAAAACUUAACUCUUAAAAUGGUUACUUAACUGGUCAGCCUAAAAUAACUUACCUUGGAAUAUAAAACAUCUUGGAAUGGUCAAAAGACUAUACUCCUACUUCCUUCAGGUUCUUGGAAAUGUUGGCUUUUCAAGGGCCAUAGGCCAUUUUGUUGCUGGGGGCAUCACCUAAUGCAGCAGCCUGUGUCAUGGAGAACAGGAGAUACAGCCAGUGAGCCCAGACACGUGAAGUCUGUAUUUUAGGCUCCAGUGAGCUAGACUAACUCGGAAGAGUAGUCUCCCUCCAGUGCUGGCAUGGUAGUCCUUUAGUCAACACCUGGCCUUUUGACUAUUGCCAGGAGAUGUGGCUAUUGGAAACCAUGCUUUCUCCAGUGAUUGCCAGUGCUCUUGUGUCUUAAGAACUGAGUGUUUGUAACUAGACCUGCAGGAGCGAAAGUCAACCAGCAUUUUUCAGGUUUCCAGCAGGCAGACAUUGACAGUAGCUGCACUGCUGUUGAGGUAGUUUUGAUCGUAGUGUAACGACAAAGGCACAGAUAAGGAAGAGAAUACAAGCUGUGAGUCUGGAGUAGAGUAGAAAUUCUGAAGCUGCGUGUAACAGGAUGUAGAGCAAUUGUAUAUGUAUAUCUGAUUUAUAACCAACAUGAAUUGUCCACCCCCAAGUCCUUCACUAGCUCUCAAGCCUGAAAACAGUUCUCUCCUUUUGCGGUAAGAAACAGUUGGCUUUCUUGGGCAGCAAAGUAGAGUGCAUGACAGGACUUCCUCAGUCUUUCUGCUUUUCACAUUUUGUACUAAGCAGUUAACUGAUUUUUAGAAUAGCUUUCUUUAGAAAUUCAAGGAAAGCAAAUUAGGAAAACACAAAUGAGAAGCUAUUACAUGGCUGAGAAACAGGGCACUUAAGUCUGAAUGGAGAGUAUUUUGACAUCAGUAUUUAACCUACUAAAGGCAUGAGUUUAGACAAGUUAGAAUUGUAAUCUGCUAUUGACAUUUCUAAGUGAAGCUAUAACAUUCUUUAGCUGGUAGGCAGGUAUUAUUGAAGCUGUAUAUUUUAUAGAGAAAAUUUUGAGGGAGUUAACAGCCAGUGGCUCUCUUCCUUCCAUGUUGAUAAAUUUAGAAGUCCUGCGGCCAGCAUCCUGAUUUAUACCCACAGGCAGUGUCUGCUGCAGCCUCCACAGAGGGCAGCCUGUUAGGACAGAAGCUGCUGCCUCCUGCCUGUGGUGCUAGCUGCACCAGCCUGUUCAUGUGUUGGGGCAUUGCUUAGGAUCCCUGAAACAUUUGCACACUGUGGUUCUUUAAAGAGAAAUGGCCCAGCAUUCAUGGCUUUCCACACCAUCUUCUGGUAGCCUUUAACUAUGACAGAAUGCUCCUUGAAUCACUUGAAGAUGACCAUCAUUCCUCAUAACCUAAUGUGCCGGUUUUCUCAUCCAAGUCUUCUGACUUCGUUAGCUUGGAAUUCUUUUUCCGUAAUUUCCAACAUUCCACAAAACUUUUUUUUAGAGAAAAAAGGAUCUUGUUUUUAUUUUUUCGUACAAAAAACUCCAUAAAAAUGACUUCCUACCUACAUUAUGAAGAAGAAACUGGCUGCCUCGUAUACUAUAACACUCCAAAAUGAAAAGAUUGUGCAUGUCUAAGGGGUUGGAUAUAUUUUGUAAAACUCUAAAUACAUUUGUAUUUCUGUGCUGUUCAGAAAUUUACCUUUUUACUUAUACUAAUUAAAGAUGCAGAAAACUAUAUAUUUAAAUCAUGUAUAUGGAACGCAAUUUAAGGGGUUUCCAAUCGUAUUUUUCAUCAGCUUCCCAUGCACAUAGUAUGCUGCUGAAGUUUCUUUUUUGUGCAAUAUAAACAUUUGAACAUUUCAAGUCAGGUACUGAGCCAGAAAAGGUCAUUGAAGUUUUCAGAGAACUGCCUAAAGCGUAUUUUAUUCUGUUGAGAUACUGUUAUUUUAUAGCUGGGAAACCAAGAUUGUGCAUUACAUGUUUCAGUCCACUUGAUCAUUCCUUUCUAAAUUUAGAAAGCAUGUGAUUAAUGACUUGGUGGAGGUACUUAAUGAUUGGAAAACAGUUUUUAAGGAAGUCAAGCUAUAGCUUCUCUUUCCUCCAGUGGCUUUGUAGUUUGUGCCGGUUCAUUUCUGUUGUCAUUUGUUUUUUAAAAACAUAUUCAAGUUAUAAAUCAUGUCUAGUCAUACUGAACUGUAGAGCUUCUAUUGUACAUUUAUUUUAAGGAAAACCUAAUAAUAAAAUUAUCCUGUUUCUCUUGC